rnacentral:rRNA from 1 species
AUUGAACGCUGGCGGCAUGCUUUACACAUGCAAGUCGAACGGUAACAGGCCUUCGGGUGCUGACGAGUGGCGAACGGGUGAGUAAUGCAUCGGAACGUGCCCAGAGGUGGGGGAUAACGCAGCGAAAGCUGUGCUAAUACCGCAUGUGAUCUGAGGAUGAAAGCGGGGGACCAAGCAGCAAUGUUUGGCCUCGCGCCUCUGGAGCGGCCGAUGUCAGAUUAGGUAGUUGGUGGGGUAAAGGCCUACCAAGCCGACGAUCUGUAGCUGGUCUGAGAGGACGACCAGCCACACUGGGACUGAGACACGGCCCAGACUCCUACGGGAGGCAGCAGUGGGGAAUUUUGGACAAUGGGCGCAAGCCUGAUCCAGCAAUGCCGCGUGCGGGAAGAAGGUCUUCGGGUUGUAAACCGCUUUUGUACGGAACGAAAAGGCUCUGGCUAAUACCUGGGGCUGAUGACGGUACCGUAAGAAUAAGCACCGGCUAACUACGUG